UGUAAACAAAAUUUAUUUUUGAAUAUUAAUAUGAACAAUGAUUGUUAAGAAAACAAUCUGCCAAAGUGGUUUGGUAAUUAACUGAAGUCAUGCUGUCAAAAAUAUCUCCUUUUUAUAAGUUAUUGAUAAAAAAAACUAUUUGAAGGCGAAUUAAUCAUUUCCUCAACUAAAUACAUUUAUCUAUAAAUAAAAUCAAUUCGUCAAGAACUUUCUCUCAUAUAUUUAAACAAUUGUAAAAUAAUUAAUUUAAACCUUUGUCCUGCGACUUUCUGUCCGUUUACCAAUACUUAUUCCUUGUUAAGUUUUUUCAUAUCCAUUUACGAAUACUUAUAACGUGAUAAUUAAUUUUUCCGGAUGCUUUUUAUCCUAUUUUCAUAUCAAACAACCAUGUUACCCGUAGAACGGAGUAAAGUACAAAUUUAGGAAUUUAGUACUUAAACUUUCAACAACAAAAUUUUACACUUUCAUUCACCUGGAUUUUUUUCUACGCUUCGAAGCCGCCACCCUGUAUCAAACUUAUCCAACACCUCGCAUGGCGUAUUCACGAUGUGGAGGGAUUGACAAUAUACAAUCAAAGUUAGCAAUAUACAGCAAGUUGCCAGCAAGAUGAAAAGAACAAUGCAGUUCAAAAGUCAAAAUGUGGAUAAGCUGCGGUACAAGGUCCUACUUUUGCAGAUUUUCAUAUUUUGCAUGAAUGAAUUUGGAGUUUAUAUCAUGGAGGGCAGAGAAAGAAAAGAAACACUUCAGUUUUCCUGCUUCUGAAGGAUAAAUGUAAAACAUCUUGUUUGAAGGAUUGAAAUUCAUCACUGAGAAUAAAAGGAGAAAACACAGAAACAAGACCAAAAUAAAUUCAAAGACAAAAGUCAGAUCAGUUAUUAUUUUCAUCACUCAGCCAAUGAAUUGAAGUUCUAUUAAAUAUCUAAAGAUAUUAAAACCACAAUAAUGACAAUGUUCUGUGCUGAAUGGCAAAAAAGUGGACUAUACAUUACAAUCACACAAUGCUGGAUGAUAAGAAACUAUUAAUUUUUUGGGUGGAGGGAUAUCCUGAAAAAAAAUAGAUUUAUGUAAAAAGCUACUAGUAUGUUAAGCCUAUUAAAAGAGUUUUCAUUGAUUUCAAAUGGGAAAAAAUUGUGUUUCAAAAAAGUAUUCUAGAAUUCAUAAAUAAAUAUAUAUUGAUACUUACAUUAUCUGCUUUGUUGUUUAAAAGUUUAGUUUUGAACAG